ACUCCCCUCCAUGAUGGAUGUCAGCUUUACCUUUUGGAUCACGUGACCUGCUUGCCCUCCUGUCCUCUCACGGCCCUGAGAAAGCAGACAUAGGCUCUGCUCUGAGAACUCGGGAUAUCGAGAACAGAGUCUUCCCCCUGAGGAACUUCGAUUCGAACAGUGGUAACCUGGUAAGUAAAUGCUAACACUAAGCUAUAAGGUGAAUAACUGGGUUUUCGUUUAUCUUGUAAGUGUGGGCAUUCAAAAAUCCAAGCUUCCUGGUUCUGGUUCAAGAUAAGGUGAAGUAAAGGCAGGCCAGCUUGUCUCUCCCACUGAGUAGAGCCAUAAAGCCUGAGCUGACUGCAUGACACAGCCCCUUCAGGUCUCUGAAAAUCAAGUAUCAACAAGCAGAUUAAGAAGAACACUGGAAUUCAAAAUAUCACCAAACUACUGGCUGUAAUCAAGAAUCAGAAUCGCAAAACACAGCAUUCAAGCCAGCCAGAAUACACUCCUAAAUCACUCAGCACACAGAGAACCACGGAUAUUUCAACUUAUGUGAAGAAGGAAAAAAAAAAAAAAAACAAUCAACAGGCAAAACCAUGGCACAGAUGCUGGAAUUAUGUGGCAAAAAUGUGAUGUAGCUACUAUCUAUAAAAAUAGUUAAAUGGGCAAUCAGAAACAUGUCUGACAAAAGGCAUCAGCAAAGACAGAGGAGACAUGCAGAAAAACAAGUGGAAAUUUUAGAAGCAAAUGUAUAAAGCAGCCAGAAUAAAAACAUCCCCGUGGCUGAGGGCAUGCCCAGAAUGCUGAUGACAGAGAAGGCUGAGAUCUUUAAGGCUAUUUAAGGUGUACCUCCUCCUCUUGAGCCCCAGAUUCUAUGCUAAAGUCCUAGGGUCCUAACUAAGAGUGCUUGAGUUCUUGAAGCCACCGGCUCAUCUUCUUUUUUUUUUUUUUUUUAAAAGAUUUUAUUUAUUUAUUAUAUGUAAGUACACUGUAGCUGUCUUCAGAUCUCAUUACGGGUGGUUGUGAGCCACCAUGUGGUUGCUGGGAUUUGAACUCAGGACCUCCAGAAGAGCAGUCAGUGCUCUUAACUGCUGAGCCAUCUCACCAGCCCUCAUCUUCUUAGAGAUCUAUUUUUUAUUACCUCUUUUUUUUCCUCCCCUCUAAUUUCUUUUAUUACCUGUUGGUGGAAUAUAUUUCUGGCAAGGAUGUAGAGUAGUACAUCCAUUUUUUAAAAAGUAGGUUGAACAUAUCUUAUAAAUUCUAUUUUGGGAUAUUUGCCCAGGAGAAAUAGAAAUAUAAAUAACAAAACAGCAUCAACAAAAAUUCUUAGAGCAUUUUUAUUCAUCAUAGGUCCUAAAGGAGAAACAACCCAAAUGUCCAUCAGUAGAAAACAACAGAUUCUGAUCUAUUUAUACAGUGGUAUAAUGCUCAGCUUUAAGAAGAACAUAUUGUUGAUAAAUAUGAUGAUAUGAACGGAUUCCAAGCCUGCGCAUUGCUCAUAUGGAGGUCAGAGAACAACCUCCAGUGUUGCUCCUCGGGCACUGCCGACCUUUUAGAUUUCUUUUAGUUUUUUGAGUUAUUCUGAGAGAUAGAAGCCAGAUUCAAAAGAACACAAAUCUUAUAACUGCUUUUGUGUAAACUAAUAUUUUCUGUCAACUUUUGAUACUAUGGAGUAUCAGCAUAUGGCUAUUUAUUUAUUUAUUUAUUAUUGGAUAUUUUCUUUAUUUACAUUUCAAAUGUUAUCUCCUUUCCCGGUUUCCCCCCUUUCUAGAAACCCCUUGCUUCUAUAAAGGUGUUCCUCCACCCACCCAUCCACAUACUCCCACCUCCCACCCUCAAUUUCCCUACACUGGAGCAUCUAUCGAGCCUUCACAGGAUCAAGAAUAUCUUCUCCCAUUGAUGAAUGACAAGGCCAUCCUCUGCUACAUAUGCAGCUGGAGCCAUGUGUACUCCUUUGUUUUGUUUUUCCUUCCCUCUAAUUUCUUUUAUUACCUGUUAGUGGGAUAUAUUUCUGACAAGGAUGUGCAGUAAUAAAACCAUUUUUGUAACCAUGGCUUAGUCCCUGGGAGUUCUGGGGGGUCUGGUUCAUUGAUAUUGUUGUUCUUCCUAUGGGGUUGCAAACCCCUUCAACUCCUUUAGUCCUUUCUCUAACUCCUCUGUUGGGCACCCCACACUCAGUCCGAUGGUUGGCUGCGAGCAUCCACCUCUGUAUUUGUAAGGCUCUGGCAGAUACUCUCAGGAGACAGCUAUAACAGGCUCCUUUCAGCAUGCACUUCUUGGCAUCCACAAGAGUUUCUGGGCUUGGUAACUGUAUAUGGGAUGAAUCCCCAGAUGGGACAGUCUCUGGGUCACCUUUCCUUCAGUCUCUUCACUUCAUCUCCAUAUUUGCUCCUGUGAGUAAUUUUGUAUUUUGUUCUCCUUCUAAGAACUGAAGCACCCACACUUUGGUCUUCCUUCUUCUUGAGCUUCAUGUGGUCUGUGUAUUGUAUCUUGUUUUUUUUGGAGCUUUUUGGCUAAUAUCCAUUUAUCAGUGAGUGUAUACCAUGUGUGUUCUUUUGUGAUUGGGUUACCUCACUCAGGAUAUUUUCUAGUUCCAUCCAUUUGCCUAAGAAUUUCAUGAAUUCGUCGUUUUUAAUAGCUGAGUAGUACUCUAUUGUGUAAAUGUACCACAUUUUCUAUAUCCAUUGCUCUGUUGAGGGACAUCUGGGUUCUUUCCAGCUCCUGGCUAUUACAGAUAAGGCUGCUAUGAACAUAGUGGAGCAUGUGCCCUUAUUACAAGUUGGAGAAUCUUCUGGGAAUAUGCCCAGGAGUGGUAUAGCUGAGUACUAUGUCCAAUUUUCUGAGGAACCUCCAAACUGAUUUCCAGAGUGGUUGAACCAGCUUGCAAUCCCACCAGCAAUGGAGGAGUGUUCCUCUUUCUCCACAUCUCUGCCAGCAUCUGCUGUCACCUGAAUUUUUUAUUUUAGCCAUUCUGACUGGUGUGAGGUAGAAUCUCGGGGUUGUUUUGAUUUGCAUUUCUGGCAGGGCCUCUCAGGAGACAGCCAUAUUUUGAUUGGAACAUUAUCUUUAUGAAAUACUUUUAAGACUCUGCUCAUCAUGAAAAACGAACAUUCUCUGUCAACUGUUGAUACUAUGGAGUGCCAGCAUAUGUUUCUCAACUUCAAAAUUAUAAGCCUAAUUUAAUACUGUAAACAUUUCCCAAGUUCCAGUCAUCCUUACUUCUCAAGUAGUCCCCAGGAAAAGCUUUGUGUUGUAAUUUAAUUUAAAUUCAGAAUGCAUAGUGGUAAAUACAUUUCUCCACUUAAAAUUGCUUCACCUCAAUAAAUACUAAAAGUACAACUUUGUGCAGAACACGACAGUAAAUGAUGGAGGAGUUUUAAGACUCGUGAUAUAUAGCCCCUCCUUUCAUGCCAUGUAGCAUGAGAUAAAACACCAAACUACUGUAUUACAAACAGAAUAUAUCUGUAAAGAUUGUAGUACAGUAUAAAUGGUUUUUGAAGCCUGUAUAAUACAUUUGAGACAUGUUAGCUGCUUCUUCUAAGAGCAUUGGUUGAAAGUCAUUCCAAAAUGAUAACACAUUAAUCCAUUUAAUGUGCUACUGAAAAACAUAGCUAGCAGACAUGGGUUAAUUCAAUUCAUCAAACCCCCCCCAUUUGACCAGCUUUAAUACUGUUAGCAAGUAGUCUCAAAAAUCAACAGUAGAUGACGUAGAAACCCCAGAUGCCAAGAAGUCUUGCCUCUGCAAGACAGGCAAUGGGAUUUCCCCUCCAAGGAGGAACUGACUUCUUUCUAGAGGAAUCAGAGAGUUUAAUUCUCUCGAUUCUUAUCUAAGUAGCAAUCAGGACCCAUAUGCUACUAAAAGAACAGCUGCAAUACUUCUACCCAAAGAGCAAGAGAGUCUUAAGAGGCCACAUGCUUAAUAGCACACUCAACAAGUGAGUAGCUGAGGAUGUGCCUGUAGGUUUUUUAUCUUGUCCUUCUUUACGGCUGUCACUGUUACCAAUGCUUAAUAAAGAACAAUGGAGAGAGGGUGGAGCACCCUUGAGACCAUGCAAUAAGUGCAUGAGAAAGUAUUCUACAACCGACCCAGAAGGGGAAAACAAAGCCCAAGCACACUGAAGUUCCAUUGCAUACUAGUCCGAACAGCCACCAUUAACAAAUAACAUGUAGACUUGGCUUCCAUCUUUGUGGACUUUCAGUCCGCAUAUAAAUUAGUCCAGCCCUUAUAGAAAUUAGUAAGGAGGUUCAUAAAAACUAAAAUUAGAACUAUCAUAUAUAUAAUCCAGGUGAACCACUCUUAAGCGUGUGCCCAAAGGGCGCCAAAGUCAGCAAACCAUAGCUAAAUCUUCAUGUAAUGUUUACUGUAGCAGUAUUAGCAACAGCUAAGUCAUGAGGCUAAAGCACCUGUUGGCGGAUGAAUGUGGUGCGUAUCCAUCCACACAAUGAGCUUAUCUCCAUUUCUAUAGAGAGAGCAGAAGUAUGUGACGUGCAAGAAAUGAAUGAAACUGAAUAUUAUCAUGAUAAGUGAAACAAGCCAAAGCCAAACUCAGAGAGACAAGGCCACAUAUUUUCUCUCAUAAAGGUACCUGAUAUAUAUAUAUAUAUAUAUAUAUAUAUAUAUAUAUAUAUAUAUAUAUCAUUAAGGUAGGGGAUUAUAUUUGGGAAGAGGAAGGGACCAGCAGGAAGUGAGGAGGUGGACAAACGAGAUUAAUAAGACUAUAUGAUUAAAAUACAUUUUAUAUACAUGCAUGAAAAUAUCAUAACAAAGCCCAUUCUUUUGUACAAUUAACAGGUGCUAGUUAAACAGGGGGAAAUUGAGGCAAGAAAUCCUCUACGUUGGGAAAUCUGGUUCCUCUUCUGAACACUACUGCAAUCCCAUACAGCUGCCCGGCUGUCCACUGGAAAAGCGCAUUGUGUAUGAAGUGUGAGACACCAGUGCUUUGUGAGGGCUAUUCUUCCUCCUACAGUCCUUACCGCUCCUCUGGACCUAGAAAGUACCAUUUUCAGUUUCUGUUUAGCAUCCUUAAGGUGAGCAUUGUUUUUAGCCCUAGUUUCCAAAAGUGAAAUCCUCAAGGCUCCCAAAUUAAACAGAGUUCUAAAAAUGGAUCCUGUAUCAUUCAACCAAAGACUGUCUCUCAGGAAAUGGGUGGGAAUAAAAUUCUCUCCUUCCUGUUCUCCCCUCCCCCCUCCCUUGAGCCAUCACUGUUGAUGGAUUGGAGAUGUCAGCUUGUCAGCUCUUAUUGGGUGCUGCCUGAUGUAAGUCCACACUGAGGCAGUGAAAAUCUGUUUGCAGUCAGCUCUUUUAAUAAGUCCCAGGAAACAGGAGGAAAGCAGAUCAUUGGGCACGAUGCUUCCUCUGAUACGGUAGGGGAAAUCGCCGAUGACAGAGGCUUGAUAUAGAGAGGAAGGUUUGAAACAACGAACAGUUCUUUUAAAGAAAAAAAAAAACUGAAAAAAAAAUAAAAAGUUUCCCAACAACUUUGGGGAUUCUAAGAAACAUGACACUUUUAUGUUUGUGAUUUAAAGUUGACCUAGACUCCAUUGUUUCUAAAGGAGGUCAGAUCUCCUGCAUAGAAAGCCCCCAUUCCAGUGAGUCCUGUGGGUCCUUGGCAUUCAGUGGGUUCUGAACUCUGGUGAAUAAUAUUAGUGCCUCCUCUUAUUCUCAGUCCAAAGAGGGAUCCCCCAGGGGGUUACCUAGCCUCUUUUCUUCCCCAGAAGGAUAACGAUGUCUGAUGCUAUCAAAGGCACUGGAGAUGUAUCACACAAAGCAUCUAGCAUUUCAGGGAACCCAAGCAGAAUUCCCUAGAGAGUUCUGAAUUCUAAAAGUGUUUCCAUUGCACCAGCUUCACGUUAUUAAGAUCAAAUUAGGUGCCAGGUUCCUGAAAAGAGCACUCCAGUCUUUUCAAAUAUCCCCUGACACUGUGUCAGUGAAUUGCCAGAGUCGCUGUGCUGUGAGUCUUAUGAUGCUAAAUGCUGGUGGAUGAUGGAGAUAGAAUAGUCACGGUGAAGAUGCUGACGGAGAUGAUAAUGGUAUCCACUGCUAAUAAUAAGGCAAUUUUCUUAAAUGAGCCAACUAGGUGAAAUAAUCUAAGAACAAUUAUUAUGUAUGUGGUAAUUCAAUCACAUUUCUGGAGUCUCUCUGUUACCAUUAGCCACGUCACACUGGAAGAACACAGAACUGACAAAAAGUGAAUUUCAGAAGUCUGGCUAUCAACGUUCCAGCUAAAGUGAUUGCAGGAUUAGACUGACAAACAUGUCCUCUCUGGUAGGAAUUAAUAAAGUAAUGACUACUGAAGGCCCAAACAGCAUGUGGCUUUUCAUGAUUAAUCUUACACAGAAAGUUAACUAUUUCCUUCAUUUCUGACCUCCAAGGCAAGUAGCCUGUCAUAAGCACACAGCUUGUGGUUUGAAUGAAUGUGUGCAUGAUUGGAUAAAGGAGCGUAUAAAUGAAUAAGUUAAUGAGUGCUUCUCUGCUUUUCAUAAUAAAUAGUACAUGUGCCAGUAAUAAAUACAUUUUUAGCAAAUUUUGGUGUUAUGCUCUAAUAAAAAAUCAUCUUGGGCUGGGCAUGGUGGCUUUCCAUUGUGACUCCAGUACGUAGGAGGCUGGACAGGAAGAUCUGAAGUUUGAGGCCAGUCUGGGCUACAUAGUUAGACUUCAUCUCAAAAGGCGUAUGUGGCAGUAGGGCAUAUCUGCUCAGGGAACCUGAAUCCCAAUUUUGCAAAUGAACAAUAUUACAUUAUAUCAACUUAAGGGAUGUAUUAAAAAUAUGACAACCCCUGCCUCCCCCAACCCCCUCAAAGCAGAGGAAACUGGUAAUGAUGGCAUGAAAGUAAACCCCUUUUAAACCAUUAUAAAUGUCUUCUCCAUAUCCAGAGAAGUUUGAUUAAAAUAUCUGCAGAAGCAUAGGGGUUUAUCCUUAUGCAGCAUUUCUGUGUUCUUUCUAACAUUUACAUACCUUCCCCAUAAUAUCUAUUUAGUGAGCUAACAUCAAUAAAAUCUUUUCUGUAGAUUAAAAAACACUCAAACCUGACAACUGAAGUCUCCAAGGAGAGCCAGUGACCUAAACCAAUACUAGACUAAGAACUCAGUGGUGUUAUGAAUAUAUCACAUUUGCUUCUGUAUCUACAACAAGAUUGAUUGUAGGUUCUAUAUUAAAUGUGUCUGACACCAUGCAGGAAGAGCUGCAACGGACAAGUGAGCUUCCUAGAGAUGGCCCACCAUCUUGCUCUGCUGCAAUAGGUGAACCCUGAAGAGGCACAGACCCAGGAGAUGGCCCACCAUCUUGCUCUGCUGCAAUAGGUGAACCCUGAAGAGGCACAGACUCAGGAGAUGGCCCACCAUCUUGCUCUGCUGCAAUAGGUGAACCCUGAGGAGGCACAGACCCGGGAGCUUUCUCCCUGGGUUGCAUCUUGCUACAAGAAUGCCUUCUCAAUUUUUUCAUUGCUAUAGUCCUCAUAUAUCUGGCUUGAUGUGAUUGGGCAUUGCGAGACCCUCACUGCCUAUAGCCUGGUGAUUACUUCUUGGCUCACCUGUUGGGCAAGUUUCCUAUCCAUCAACAUGAAGAUGUACGCUCUUGAGACAAUGCUGUUUAGGUGACUUAAGGAUUUCAUGGAAUUCCUGAUUUGAUUUAGAUAGUUUUAGAAAGCUAGGUUGAAUUAAAUAAGUUUGGGAAGUGAGGGUAGUUGAUAGAAAGCUUGAAGUUAGAAUCAAGAAUAGAGCAUGCCCCUUCCUCAUAAAAUAGCAAGAGCUGAAUAGGUUAGAGAAAGGAGUACAUUUUAUACAUUACAAGCAUGAAAAUUGUAGUAUAAAUAAAAAUAGAUUGUGACAAGUUAAUGAUCAAAAAAAUAUUCAUUCUAGUUUGGGCCUGAAUUCCUUAAUCUACUGAACCAGGGAUAUGACCACAGGUUUCAAUGUGUACUGUGAGGGGAAGGUCACGAACGAAGGGUAGGGCUCAUUCACAUUUCAUUGUGAAUGGAAGAACAAAGAACAGAUCAUUACCCAUUUAGUUGACCAUGCCUUCAAAAAUAAGACCUAAGAUAGAUGACCUGCUCCUUAGUAAAUACAAGUUGUCAUCAGCUAAGAAUAGGGAAAAUUUUCUUACUAUAGACUUGGUUGUUAAUCUAUGACAUAAAAAUUAUUGCUUUGGGGUUACAAUGAACUCAUGGAGAGAAAGAGAGAUGUUAAACAUAAGUUUCAAAAGAAGAAUAUGCAAUCAUAAUGCUGCUGUAAUUCCCCCUUCCUGUAAUGACUUUAAUCUGUUAUUUGAAGAAUAUGUUUUUGUGGUGAUUGUUUUUAGAAAAUUUUUAACUGUGGCAAUGAGGUAAUUUUCUUCUUACAUAGAAAACUUUGUCUUAAGGGGUAUAAAAGGGCUAGGGGAAAAAACUAAGUUGUUGAAGCCUGCUCAUUGGAGCUUGCCUUGCUUCAUAUACUAUCUCUGUGUGUGCGUGUGUGUGCGUGUGUGUAUGUGC